rnacentral:rRNA from 1 species
AGCAGCCGCGGUAAUUCCAGCUCCAAUAGCGUAUAUUAAAGUUGUUGCAGUUAAAAAGCUCGUAGUUGAAUUUCGGGGUUAGUAAGUUGGUCGUGCCACUGGUAUGUACUGGCCUUACUGAUUCCUCCUUCUUGUAGAACCGUAAUGCCAUUAAGUUGGUGUUGCGGGGAAACAGGACUGUUACUUUGAAAAAAUUAGAGUGUUUAAAGCAAGCUAACGCUUGAAUACAUUAGCAUGGAAUAAUGAAAUAGGACGUUCGAUCCUAUUUUGUUGGUUUCUAGGAUUGACGUAAUGAUUAAUAGGGAUAGUUGGGGGCAUUAGUAUUCAAUUGUCAGAGGUGAAAUUCUUGGAUUUAUUGAAGACUAACUACUGCGAAAGCAUUUGCCAAGGAUGUUUUCAUUAAUCAAGAACGAAAGUUAGGGGAUCGAAGACGAUCAGAUACCGUCGUAGUCUUAACCAUAAACUAUGCCGACUAGGGAUCGGAUGAUGUUAAUUUUAUAAUGACUCAUUCGGCGCCUUA